GUCAGUCAAGGAAUAAAUGGCGUCUAUGGCGGUUAUCAGUGCAGAUCGCGCCACGUUCUCGCGAGCCUUCGAUCGAAUGUGGAUGGUUUCAUAUUCAGAGAUUCAACAGAUAUUCGAAGUUUUAAAAGUUGUCCAGCCUACUGGAGAACUGUGACACCCUCCCCUGGCUUGGAUCCGCACCUUCGCUCCUGUGUUCAUGAACGCACCCCAUGCGCCACCACUCCUGAACGCACCCCAUGCGCCACCAACCCUGAACGCACCCCAUGCGCCACCACUCCUGAACGCACCCCAUGCGCCACCACUCCUGAACGCACCCCAUGCGCCACCACUCCUGAACGCACCCCAUGCGCCACCACUCCUGAACGCACCCCAUGCGCCACCACUCCUGAACGCACCCCAUGCGCCACCACUCCUGAACGCACCGGUCAUCAGAUCCCAGUCACCAUCAUUCUGAUCACCUCUGUCCCCACCUGUGUCUGGUUUGUGUCCCUGUUUAGUACUGUUCUGAAAAUUUGUAUAAAAUCUAAUUGUGAUUCUUUGAUCAAAUGAAAGGUUUUAAAAGUUGUCCAGCCUACUGGAGAACUGUGACACCCUCCCCUGGCUUGGAUCCGCACCUUCGCUCCUGUGUUCAUGAACGCACCCCAUGCGCCACCACUCCUGAACGCACCCCAUGCGCCACCACUCCUUAACGCACCCCGGUCAUCAGAUCCCAGUCACCAUCAUUCUGAUCACCUCUGUCCCCACCUGUGUCUGGUUUGUGUCUCUGUUUAGUACUGUUCUGUUCUCCCUAAGCUUUGUGAGGUAUUGAUCGCUUUUCAUUCUUUACUGAGCCUUUGUUUCACAUUCUAUUUUUGAAGUUUAGCUGUAUAGAUAGUGUUCUGACCUUAGCUGUGUUUCUUUUCUACUCCAAUUUAUCCCUGUGAUUUUGUAUAUUUUGCCUCUAUUUUGACACACUGGUUUUGACCCUUUGCCUGCUUCCUUCAACUCUGCUUUUGCCUCACCCCUUGCUUAGUAGUGCCGACC
rnacentral:lncRNA from 1 species